AUCAGUGUGUAGCAAAGUGAGUCUGGGCGGCUCGUGAACGCUGAGUGAGGUUGCGCCGCAGCUUUCCAGCCUCCCACAAGGCGUGACUUCGCCUUUUGAUAGAGAGAAGUUGUUUUUUUUCUCUCAACAUCUCAUUCCUGUGAGCUGAGCACUGAGAGUUCACAAGAACUCUGCCCUCAUCACAACUUCUUCUGCAGAACCAUGAAGACGGUCACUAUUGAGUAUUGUAAAGACUGAAGUUAUGCGUACCGCUACCAGGAACUAGCCGGCGUUCUCCGGCAGAUUCCUGGAGUGAAGGUAAAAGGAGUCACCGGGAGGACAGAUAGCUUUGAGGUAUCCCUGGAGGAUGAACUUCUCUACUCAAAGCUAGAGACGAAGUCGUUUCCAGAUCCUGAGCAGAUGGCGGACAAGGUGAUGGAGAAGGUUCCUGACGAAAACGCCAAGAAGAAAUCCAAGAGAUGGAUAUGCUCCGUCCAGUAAAAAGGUGGAGAAGCAAACGGUUAUAUUCACACCGGCAAAAAAAAAACAACAAACAACAAAAAAAGCUGUAAACCUGUUAUGCGCGUCCGGAGUAUGAAAAUUAGGGAAAGGAUUUUAAUAAGUGGAUGCAAACUGAAAAGAGCCGACACGGCUGUGAAUGUAAACGAGACGUUUGUGAGAGCGGCUCUCUGGAUCCAGGCGGCGAUCGACGCCUCUUUUUAUGAAUGCACACGCCUAAAACUCAAGUGGUGUGUGCACGAUGCAAGCCGAGAAGCUUCUCGGCCGCCUGGAGCCCGACGGUCUGCUUCAGUCCCAUCAAAGUCAUGAGAAACAGGGGGGGGGGGGGGGAAGGGAUGCUCCUGAGAGUCUACGACUCUCAGGAGCAUUCACUUAAUUUUUGACGUAUGUGACGUCUUUAUGAUCUAAAAUAUCUCAUUAAUAUCCGUUUUCCUCUAUCAAAAGUUAAUUACAGAGGAGCAAUAAAGCCAUAAAAUCUGGGCUCAUUAUUCUAUUUUAUAUUUAACCUAAUCUCUGACCCACUUCUCUUCCCACAAUAUCCUGCUGACCAAAAAUAAGCUGCAGAGCUGAGAAACAUGUUUUUCAGAUUGUGUGUUGUAGCCCACAUGGGAACAGGGAAGCCUGGGAACGUAAGACCAAAAACGGCUGUACUUAAUAAACAUUUUAAUAGCACAUGAUAUUCAACACAUGUGUUUAUAUAUAUAUAUAUACUGUAUAUAUAUAUACUGUAUAUAUACAGUAUAUACCCCCCAAGGCAGAUAAUAUUUGAUUAAAACCAUUAAUUUGGGUGAAGCAAAUGUUGGUUUAUGUUAGCUUAGCUUUGCUAUUAUAUUAAAUAUUUUUUCAUCCAACCAACUGCAUAACAUUAAACAAAAAUAAAUUAA